rnacentral:rRNA from 1 species
ACUCGGUCGGGAGGAUUGCUGGCAUCAGCUGGCUUUCUUUGCAUUUCCGGGUCUACGUUUUUCAUAUACCCCAUUGUAUGUAACAGAAUGUAAUAUUGGGCCCUUGUGCCUAUAAACCUUAUACAACUUUCAGCAACGGAUCUCUUGGCUCUCGCAUCGAUGAAGAACGCAGCGAAAUGCGAUAAGUAAUGUGAAUUGCAGAAUUCAGUGAAUCAUCGAAUCUUUGAACGCACCUUGCGCUCCUUGGUAUUCCGAGGAGCAUGCCUGUUUGAGUGUCAUUAAAUUCUCAACCUUUAUCACUUUUUGCUGAUAAUGGCUUGGAUAUGGGGGUUUAUUUUGCUGGCUUCUUUACGGAUGGUCAGCUCCCCUUAAAUGCAUUAGCCGGUGCCCCGCGUGGACUGUCUAUUGGUGUGAUAAUUAUCUACGCCGUGGACAUCUGCAAU